UACGUAGGGCGCAAGCGUUGUCCGGAAUUAUUGGGCGUAAAGAGCUCGUAGGCGGUUUGUCGCGUCUGCUGUGAAAGCCCGGGGCUCAACCCCGGGUCUGCAGUGGGUACGGGCAGACUAGAGUGCAGUAGGGGAGACUGGAAUUCCUGGUGUAGCGGUGAAAUGCGCAGAUAUCAGGAGGAACACCAAUGGCGAAGGCAGAUCUCUGGGCCGUAACUGACGCUGAGGAGCGAAAGCAUGGGGAGCGAACAGG
rnacentral:rRNA from 1 species